AGGGUUCGAUUCUGGCUCAGGAUGAACGCUGGCGGCGUGCUUAACACAUGCAAGUCGAACGGGAUCCAUCAGGCUUUGCUUGGUGGUGAGAGUGGCGAACGGGUGAGUAAUGCGUGACCGACCUGCCCCAUACACCGGAAUAGCUCCUGGAAACGGGUGGUAAUGCCGGAUGCUCCAGUUGAUCGCAUGGUCUUCUGGGAAAGCUUUCGCGGUAUGGGAUGGGGUCGCGUCCUAUCAGCUUGACGGCGGGGUAACGGCCCACCGUGGCUUCGACGGGUAGCCGGCCUGAGAGGGCGACCGGCCACAUUGGGACUGAGAUACGGCCCAGACUCCUACGGGAGGCAGCAGUGGGGAAUAUUGCACAAUGGGCGCAAGCCUGAUGCAGCGACGCCGCGUGAGGGAUGGAGGCCUUCGGGUUGUAAACCUCUUUUAUCGGGGAGCAAGCGAGAGUGAGUUUACCCGUUGAAUAAGCACCGGCUAACUACGUGCCAGCAGCCGCGGUAAUACGUAGGGUGCAAGCGUUAUCCGGAAUUAUUGGGCGUAAAGGGCUCGUAGGCGGUUCGUCGCGUCCGGUGUGAAAGUCCAUCGCUUAACGGUGGAUCCGCGCCGGGUACGGGCGGGCUUGAGUGCGGUAGGGGAGACUGGAAUUCCCGGUGUAACGGUGGAAUGUGUAGAUAUCGGGAAGAACACCAAUGGCGAAGGCAGGUCUCUGGGCCGUUACUGACGCUGAGGAGCGAAAGCGUGGGGAGCGAACAGGAUUAGAUACCCUGGUAGUCCACGCCGUAAACGAUGAGUGCUAGGUGUUGGCCAGAGAUGGUCGGUGCCGCAGCAAACGCAAUAAGCACUCCACCUGGGGAGUACGACCGCAAGGUUGAAACUCAAAGGAAUUGACGGGGGCCC
rnacentral:rRNA from 1 species